GGGGGUAACACAGUGACAGAGUAAGGGGGUGACUAGUGACAGAGUGAGGGAGUGGGUGACACAGUGACAGAGUUAGGGAGGGAGUAACUAGUGACAGAGAGAGGGAUGGGGUGACUGGUGACAGUCACCCCCCCCUCACUCUGUCACCAGUCAUCCCCUCACUCUGUCACUAGUCACCCCUUCCCUCCCUCACUCUGCCACUAGUCACCCAUUCCCUCACUCUGUCACUAGUCUCCCAUUCCCUCACUCUGUCACUAGUCUCCCAUUC